UGCAAGUCGAACGGCAGCGCGGGGCAACCUGGCGGCGAGUGGCGAACGGGUGAGUAAUAUAUCGGAACGUACCCAAGAGUGGGGGAUAACGUAGCGAAAGUUACGCUAAUACCGCAUACGAUCUAAGGAUGAAAGCAGGGGACCGCAAGGCCUUGUGCUCCUGGAGCGGCCGAUAUCUGAUUAGCUAGUUGGUAGGGUAAAGGCCUACCAAGGCGACGAUCAGUAGCUGGUCUGAGAGGACGACCAGCCACACUGGAACUGAGACACGGUCCAGACUCCUACGGGAGGCAGCAGUGGGGAAUUUUGGACAAUGGGCGCAAGCCUGAUCCAGCAAUGCCGCGUGAGUGAAGAAGGCCUUCGGGUUGUAAAGCUCUUUUGUCAGGGAAGAAACGGCUGUGGCUAAUAUCCACGGCUAAUGACGGUACCUGAAGAAUAAGCACCGGCUAACUACGUGCCAGCAGCCGCGGUAAUACGUAGGGUGCAAGCGUUAAUCGGAAUUACUGGGCGUAAAGCGUGCGCAGGCGGUUUUGUAAGUCUGUCGUGAAAGCCCCGGGCUCAACCUGGGAAUUGCGAUGGAGACUGCAAGGCUUGAAUCUGGCAGAGGGGGGUAGAAUUCCACGUGUAGCAGUGAAAUGCGUAGAGAUGUGGAGGAACACCGAUGGCGAAGGCAGCCCCCUGGGUCAAGAUUGACGCUCAUGCACGAAAGCGUGGGGAGCAAACAGGAUUAGAUACCCUGGUAGUCCACGCCCUAAACGAUGUCUACUA
rnacentral:rRNA from 1 species